UACGAAGGGGCUAGCGUUGCUCGGAAUUACUGGGCGUAAAGCGCACGUAGGCGGCUUUCUAAGUCGGGGGUGAAAUCCUGGAGCUCAACUCCAGAACUGCCUUCGAUACUGGAGAGCUCGAGUCCGGGAGAGGUGAGUGGAACUGCGAGUGUAGAGGUGAAAUUCGUAGAUAUUCGCAAGAACACCAGUGGCGAAGGCGGCUCACUGGCCCGGUACUGACGCUGAGGUGCGAAAGCGUGGGGAGCAAACAGG
rnacentral:rRNA from 1 species